GUGCUUGGCGCCGAGGAAGAAGGAGAAGAACCAGGUGAGGAGGCUUCUUCCUCCUCCUUCUCCUCCUCCUCUUCCCCUUUCUUGGAGAAAGCGCAGGCAGUGGAAAGAGAAGCGGUGCGUUAAGGAAGGCAGGCAGGAAGAAGGCCAGGCAGCUGUUCCUCCCUCCCCCUCUCUCUGUGGGUCCCUCUCUCUCUCUUUCCAUGAGGGAAGAAGCGGUGCCGUUCCUUCCCCCUCCUGCCUUGUCCUCCUCCCCACCUCUGUGCCCACCUUUCCUGCUAUCAAAAGGGAGAGGAAGGGGGAUCACAUUCCUCUUCGGGGAGAGGCUGCUGCUUGCUGGGGGGCUUUCUCUUCAUGCUCCUUUCCUUCCUCUAAAAAACCCUCUCUUCUUUCUCUUGCGUGCCUUAAUAUUCUGGCUUAUAUGGCUGUGUGCCAUAUAACCCAGAAUAUCAAGGCAGAAUAACCCACAAUAUCUGCUUUGAAUUGGGUUAUCUAAGUCCACACUACCUUGGCAGCCACCUCUCCACAAAAGUCAACAUCGACACUGAAAUACAACACCGCCUGAGCUCGGCGAGUGCAGCAUUUUUCCGUAUGAAGCAGAGAGUGUUUGAUGACCGGGACAUCCGUAGAGAGACCAAGGUGCUUGUUUAUAAAGCUAUUGUCCUCCCAACCCUGCUCUAUGCCUGCGAAAGGUGGACUGUGUACAGACGUCACACCAAACUCCUGGACCGUUUCCAUCAGCGUUGCCUCAGGAAAAUCCUGCAAAUCUCUUGGAGGCGGACAAAUGUCAGCGUGCUUGAGGAAGCAAAGAUCACCAGCAUUGAAGCGAUGCUCCUACACCAUCAACUCCGCUGGACUGGCCACGUCCGAAUGCCCGAUCACCGUCUCCCAAAGCAGCUCCUCUACUCCGAACUCAAGAAUGGGAAACGGAAUGUUGGUGGGCAGGAAAAGAGAUUUAAAGAUGGGCUCAAAGCCAACCUUAAAAACUGUGGCAUAGACACUGAGAACUGAGAAGCCCUGGCCCUUGAGCGCUCCAAUUGGAGGUCAGCUGUAACCAGCAGUGCUGCGGAGUUCGAAGAGGCACGAACGGAGGGCUUAAGGGAGAAACGUGCCAAGAGGAAGGAGCAUCAAGCUAACCCCGACUGGGACCACCUUCCACCUGGAAACCGAUGUCCUCACUGCGGGAGAAUAUGUGGGUCAAGAAUCGGUCUCUUCAGCCACCUAAGAACACACACCCAAGAUACCAAGGUUGGAAGACUAUCGUCCUCGAACGACGAGGGAUCGCCUAAGUAAGUAAGUAAGUAAGUACUAAGUCCACACUGUCCUAUAUCCCUGUUCAAUGUUUGGUGCUAAAUUCACAAAUAUAGUAAUUCCUACAUAACAUUACAAUGUAUUGAACUGCUUUUUCUAUUGAUUUGUUGUAAAGCAUGGUAUUUUGGUGCUUAAUUUGUAAAAUCAUAAUGUAAUUUGAUGUUUAAUAGGCUUUUCCUUAAUCCCUCCUUAUUAUUCAACAUUUUCACUUAUCCAAUGCUUUUUUUCCCCAGUGAUUGGUUUGGGGGGGGGGGAUUCUGUUCGCCUACACUUGAAAAUUACCUAGGGCCGGCCCUGCACAUAUGACCAAGCAACCUCAGAGGGUGAACAAGAUUUGUUACUGAUAAAGAACUCCUGAACUGUGUGAGGUUGCAAUAGUUUGCUUUUGUUUGAACCAUUUGGAAAAGACAACUCUCAAGCUGCUGAAUUAACUAAAUGCAAACUACCUUUGCACUUUGAAUUCAGCUCACAGCAAUUGAAAUAAGUACAGGACAAGUGGGAGAAGUGGGAGAAGGGAAAAAGCAACUGAAAAAGUAGAACAAUUGAGGAUUAAUUGAGGGCAGUUCCACACAGCCCUUUAACCCGGAAGCAAUCGCAUUUGAAAAACGUGAU
ensembl:lncRNA